rnacentral:rRNA from 1 species
ACUUUCAGCGGGGAGGAAGGCGAUAAGGUUAAUAACCUUGUCGAUUGACGUUACCCGCAGAAGAAGCACCGGCUAACUCCGUGCCAGCAGCCGCGGUAAUACGGAGGGUGCAAGCGUUAAUCGGAAUUACUGGGCGUAAAGCGCACGCAGGCGGUCUGUCAAGUCGGAUGUGAAAUCCCCGGGCUCAACCUGGGAACUGCAUUCGAAACUGGCAGGCUAGAGUCUUGUAGAGGGGGGUAGAAUUCCAGGUGUAGCGGUGAAAUGCGUAGAGAUCUGGAGGAAUACCGGUGGCGAAGGCGGCCCCCUGGACAAAGACUGACGCUCAGGUGCGAAAGC